AUUGAACGCUGGCGGCAUGCUUUACACAUGCAAGUCGUACGGCAGCGCGGGGCAACCUGGCGGCGAGUGGCGAACGGGUGAGUAAUACAUCGGAACGUACCCAGAAGUGGGGGAUAACGUAGCGAAAGUUACGCUAAUACCGCAUACGUUCUACGGAAGAAAGUGGGGGACCUUCGGGCCUCAUGCUUUUGGAGCGGCCGAUGUCUGAUUAGCUAGUUGGUGAGGUAAAGGCUCACCAAGGCGACGAUCAGUAGCUGGUCUGAGAGGACGACCAGCCACACUGGGACUGAGACACGGCCCAGACUCCUACGGGAGGCAGCAGUGGGGAAUUUUGGACAAUGGGCGCAAGCCUGAUCCAGCAAUGCCGCGUGAGUGAAGAAGGCCUUCGGGUUGUAAAGCUCUUUUGUCAGGGAAGAAACGGCUGAGGAUAAUACCUUCGGCUAAUGACGGUACCUGAAGAAUAAGCACCGGCUAACUACGUG
rnacentral:rRNA from 1 species